AAGUCGUAACAAGGUAACCGCAGGUUCACCUACGGUUGGAUCAUUAAUGAUUUUAACUUUUUCGAAUUUUCUGUUUUUAUUUUUUUAUUUUUAUUUUUUUAACAAAUUUUUAUUUGUUUUUUAAAUAAAAAAAAAAGGAAACGUUUAUUCGAAAUUUUUUACCCAUUGUGAAUUUGUAUUAAUUUUCGAGUCAGUAGUAGUAAUAAUAAUUAUUAUCACUGUUCUUUUUGAUUUUAUUUUUUAUAUAAUCAAAAAGAAGGUUGGCUCGGCCACUUUUAAAAAAAUCCCUUUUAUUUUAACUUGUCUGAAUUUUUUCUAAUAAAAUAUGAAAUUAUAAAACAACUUUUGACAACGGAUCUCUUGGCUCUC
rnacentral:misc_RNA from 1 species